rnacentral:rRNA from 1 species
CAAUAGCGUAUAUUAAAGCUGUUGCGGUUAAAAAGCUCGUAGUUGGAUUUCUGUCAAGGACAACUGGUCCGCCCUCCGGGUGAGCACAUAGUUUGGUCUUGACAUCUUGCUGGAAGCUGUUGCUGCACUUGGCUGUGUGGCGCAGUGUUCAGCACUUUCACUUUGAGGAAAUUGGAGUGUUUCAAGCAGGCACAUGCCUUUGGACACAGUGGCAUGGAAUAAUUAGAUUGGGCUUUUGCUCCAAUUUGUCGGUUUCUGGAGCUGAGGUGAGUAUUAAUGGGGAUUGUUGGGGGCAUCCGAAUUUAGCCGUCAGAGGUGAAAUUCUUGGAUCUGCUAAAGACGGACAACUGCGAAAGCGUUUGCCCAGGAUGUUUUCAUUG